CCCUCUUUCACUCUCUCUCGUUCGAAGCUCUCGCUGCCCUGGAAAAAAUUCCACAGAGUACCUGGAAAUCUCAACGAUAAACACUGCAAAUUUGAAAGAGACUGCAUUCGAAAGAGAAGGAUUCAAUACCUGGAAAUCUCAUUGCGUUUUAAGGUUGUUGAGUAUCGUGGUGAGCAAAUAGGAGGUCUUGAGGAUCUGAGGGAACCAUAUAUGUUGUUUUCUUCCUUUAUAGAUAAAUUCUUGCUUAGCUUUUAUUACAUGGUUUGCGUCUAAUUGAAAACUUCACGUCUUUGCCCAUUUCAGGUUCUUACAAAAUCGGUACUGCGUCUGAAUCUGUUAAUGCAGCUUACAUAUUUUCUAGAAAAGAUCUUUCUCGGCCUGCUAUACAGAUUCCCUGCGCAAGCAAAGCUGUUGUAGCUGUCCGGUUCUGUCCUAUAUUUUUUAAUCUCAAAGCGACAAACUCAGGUA